AAGCGUUACGGUAAUCUUGGACCCGGCAUUGAGGCCGCGAUUCAGGAUUACGCAAAGGACGUGCGUUCACGCGCGUUUCCGGGGCCGGAGCACGUCUACGGCAUCAAGCCGAAGGCCUGACACACGCGAAAUAGUUGUUCGACAAGAAGCCCGGCGGAUUGCGCCGGGCUUGAGUUUUUGAACUGGAGAAAACAGAUCGGUGGCGCGGCCCAGGCCGCGCCACUCACCGUUCAGAACUUGUAGUUCACGGCUGCGCGAACGACAUGGAAUCUGUUCUCGUA
rnacentral:misc_RNA from 1 species